rnacentral:sRNA from 1 species
AUAAAAUGAUGCAUAGCACUAUUAAAGCAUAUCCGUUUCUGAAUAAGAUUUUUUUUAAGUAUGUUAAAAAUCUUUAGUAUAUAAUGUAUAUUUAAAACUGAUGCAUGGCUUUAUUUAUGUGUUGAAGGAUAGUUCAGUUCAUUCUACCUGAAAAAGUUAUUCACAUAAACACACCCACAGAGGAAAUUCGUUCUAGGAAGUUUGGACUUACUGCCCGCUUAGCCUUGUUUCAUCUGUUUCAUAGGCAUUGUGAAAUCCCCUCUUGCUGGAGACUUUAUUACUAUGCAAUGCAGAGAACUCUUCCAAGAAAUGAAUAUUGAAUUGGUUCCUCCAUAUAUGAUUGCAUCAAAAGAAGCUGUUCGUGAAGGAUCUCCAGCAAACUGGAAAAGAAAAGAGAAGUUGCCUCAGGUUACGAGGUCUUGGCACAAUUAUAUGUGUAAUUGUGUUAUCCAGGAUUUUCAAGCUUCGGUACUUCAAGUGUCAGAUUCAACUUAUGAUGAACAAGUGGCUGCACAGAUGCCAACUGUUCAUUAUGAAUUCCCCAAUGGCUACAAUUGUGAUUUCG